rnacentral:rRNA from 1 species
CGGACGGGUGAGUAAUGUCUGGGGAUCUGCCUGAUGGAGGGGGAUAACUACUGGAAACGGUAGCUAAUACCGCAUAACGUCGCAAGACCAAAGAGGGGGACCUUAGGGCCUCUUGCCAUCGGAUGUGCCCAGAUGGGAUUAGCUAGUAGGUGGGGUAACGGCUCACCUAGGCGACGAUCCCUAGCUGGUCUGAGAGGAUGACCAGCCACGCUGGAACUGAGACACGGUCCAG